rnacentral:lncRNA from 1 species
GAUCCUUGUAAUUUACAAUUUUAUUAACAUUUCCACGAUUAUAUAAUUAAGAUGAACUGCAUCUUGCUCAUUUUUUUCCUUUGUAACAGGAAUCCAAAAUCUAGUGAUUGAAGCAGGUUUUACUUUUCUUGUGCAUGAGCGGUGGGUUGUCCAGAGGGUUGUGGUAGCUCCCCUAUGCUCCUGGCAUCCACAUUCCUUUCUUUCCAUUCAGUCCCAUAGCAUGUGCUUCUGACUGCCUUGUCACUACUGGCUGGGUAGCUUCAAGCAUGAUGGUCUCAUUCCAGACAAGAUGAAGUAGAGAGAACAAGACGUGGGCAGAGUGGAGAGAGGCACACUGGUCUUUAUCCAUUGUCAAAACCAAGGAGACAAACACACUGAGUAUGCAUCAUGCGUUUGAAAAGCGCAUAUGCAUGGACUUGGACAGCUACUACCAAGCUCUCCAACUGCUCUAGCCAAGGCUCAGUGAUUAGCAGCUGAAAAGCAAGAAUGAAAUCCAGUGAGUAGCAGCAUACAAAGAAUCAGCUUCAAAGACUAAACACCUAACCAAGAUAUGUCUGGUAUGUCCAGGCCAGAGCUGUUGGGAAGGUACAGGACCUAGAUAGGCUCAUCUACAUGUGAUGCCUCUGGAAAACUUCAAUUCCUACCCUAGUGCUCAAAAUAGGUACCAGACCAAAGAAAUCUACUUCACAGAGAUGGAGACAUCCCUGGGUCCAUCAGCAUGAUCGGACAGGUCUUAUCUAGCUAUUGCUGCCACCUAGUGGCCGUCUUCCUUUAAUGGAGGCCGAAAUCUAAAUGCUAAGCAUGGUAGGUUCCUUGAGGCCAGGAAACCACAGAGAAGCUGGCGAUCAACUUACAUUUGAGAAGGUUCAGGAAUGUGUUCUAAAGGAACUUGACUUGAAUUUCAUGUGUGUUUGAUUCUUCCUGCCUGCCUCACGAGGACCACCAUUUGUGAACUAGGAAUGUGGUCUGCUUGUCAAAUGGGCCACUUCAAAGGGAAGAGUGUGGGAAAUUGGAACUAUGACCACAGGCCUCUUGUAUCAUGUACCACACCUAAGCUUCUGGCAUUAAAGGUCUUUGCAAUGGUUUAACGAAGGUACAUGUGAAGACUUAGCACACAAGUAACACUCAAAAGUAGCAUAUACACACUGAAGAUGAAAGAUUAUGUGGUUCUUCUGCAAGGGGCAGAGUCACUCAGGGUCCUUUUGGGCCCUGCAAAAUUAGAGGCCCAGAUUUCCAAAGACCGAAGUAUUUCUGCAAAGGUAAGUGUCUAUUUGAAUUAUAAGAUUUGCCACAAUGGCUCUGUAUAUCUAGAAGCAGGAAGAGCCAUCGGUUUAGUCAAUGGAACUGACUGUCAUAAUUCAGUGAAAGAUUGGAACUUGGUUCUUAAAAUAACAGGUUGGAAUAUGAUGGUAUGUCAAAGAUCCACUUGUGGUUCUGGCCCACUUUCUAUGGCAACUAGACAGCAGACUCGUUUUCUAAAAGGGGUACAGUAACCAGAUACCAGUCCUUUCAGAUUUUUUUGGUUUUUUGGGAGGUUUGGGUUUCACUCAGUGCAGUGUCACUGAAACUCACAUUAAGAGCUAAGGGGAGGGCUGGUGAGAUGUUUCUCAUUUUCUUAGUGGACAGCUUUAUCACUUUUCUUUUUUCUAUUUAGGGAUUAAUUUGAUCAUUUCCUAGUUUCAAGUAGCAUUGAUUACAUGUUCUCCUCCUUAGUGUAAAAGUUGUUCUCUAUCCUUUGGGGCACAUUCUUUUCUGGAAGCUUUGAAACUUUUUACAUUGUUUUACUUCAAAAUUGUUUUCUGGACAAAUCUCAUUUCUUCUUUGAUUCAUGUGUUACUUAGAAGUAUGCUGUUUAACUUCAGCAUAUUGGUGAGGCUAUUCCAGGUAUCUUUCUACAUUCCUCUCUAAGGUUUCUUACAAAUUUAUUCUCACUUCCUGUCAUCCAACAUAUGGUCUACCUUGAAUACGCCAUAUUCAUUGUCUAGAGUGAUCUAGAAAUGCCAACUACAUCAAGUUGGUUGAAUGUUGCUUAUAAUAAGUAUGUAUUUAGUGAUGAGUGUGUGUGUGUGUGUGUGUGUGUGUGUGAGGAUGGUGUUGACACAUUCAACCUUUUAGAUUUCUGGAAGAUGUUUUUAUUCUUUUUAAAUAAGUUCUGAUGUGUAUGCAUGUUUGCUCACAUGUAUACUACAUACAUGUACACUACAUGUAUGUCUGUUGCCAUGAAGGCCAAAACAGGGUGUUGGAAUCCCUGCAAUUGAGUCACAGACUAGUCUUUCGUUGUUGUUUUGUUUUUUGAGACAAGGUAUCACUGUAUAGUCCUGGCCUCCAAUUCACAGAGAUCCUCUGCCUCCCAGUGCACCGCCAUGGCCCUUUAUAAGAGCAGUCAGGAGCUCCUAACUGCUGAGCCAUCUCUCCAGGCUGACAUUACUUCUACUAAGAGUUUAUCUAUAGAGAUAACUUGACAUCUACAUGAUAAGGUCCCACAUCAAUCUACAUGACCUAUACUGUGUUUUAUGCUCCCACAGGACAACACACACCUGGUCACAAGGGGAGUUUGGGACAAAGCUCUACAAGCCUGCAAAUCAGCAUUAACCACCUGUACUGCAGAAGUUUACAUGGGUGCCAUUCUGGAAAACUCACAUUAACUCACAAAAGCAAACAAGUGAGUGCAGACAGGAAUGGGACUAUCGUCCCACUACUGUUAUUUAUUCUCUCCUCUUCUCCUUGGUUGCUGUGCAUGCCCAAAUAAUGUAAUCAUUUUUUAAAGAGAGAGAAACUAUAGGGCAUGUACAAACUCAUGGCUACUGCACCCACCAUGCUGGACGAUGAACGAAUAACUGAGACCAGGAAGGAAUUUUUUUUAAAAAGUCCUAGAGAAAAAUGAAAAUACAACAUUCCAAAAUCCAUGGAAAAAUUAUGAAGGUGGUCUUAAGUGGGCAGUUUACAGCUAUUGGUGCCUCCAGUAAGAAGUUAAAGACAGCAAAUGAAUUUACUUAAUGAUACAACUUAGGGCCUUGGAAAAACAAAAACAAAUCAAAUCCCAAUCCCUCCAUGGGAAAAAAAUAGUGCCAUCAGGGAAGAAAUCAAUGAAAUAGAAACAAUAACAAAAUACUAGGAGUCAAUGAAACAAAAAUUUGGUUAAACAGCUAGAUGUAGUUGUUAAACCCUCAGCUAGACUAAAAGAAGAAAUAGGAAUUAAUUAUUAAGAAAGAAAGAAAGAAAGAAAGAAAGAAAGAAAGAAAGAAAGAAAGAAAGGAAGGAAGGAAGGAAGGAAGGAAGGAAGGAAGGAAGGAAGGAAGGAAGGAAGGAAGGAAGAAGACCGUUGGUAGUGGCCCACUCUGGAAGCAGAGGUAGGUAGGUGAUCCUCUGUGAGUUUAAGGCCAGCCUAAUCUACAAAGUGAGUUCCAGGACAGGUACGGUACACACAGAGAAAUUCUGUCUCAACAAAGCAAAAUAAAUUAGAAGAAAGGGGGGCCAUCACAACAGACACUGAUGAAGUGUAUAACAUCAUUAGGUCUUACCUUAAAAAGUAACACCCCACUAAGUUGGAAAAGCUGAAAGAAAUGGGUGAAUUUAUAGAUGCAUAUGGCCUACAAAAAUAACAUGAAGAUGAGCAAUUAUGAUUACAUUAGUAAUUCAAAAUCUAAAAACAAAAAAGCCCAGGUUAUCAGACUUUCCAGUGUUCCUCCAGUGUUCCUAGGCUAGAAAAGGAAGAGACAUUACCAAACUCCCUUACGAUGCUCCUAUUCGCCUGAUACCGAACCAAGAUGAAACAAAACUCUACAUCAAUUUCCCUGAUGAACAUAGACACAAAUAUUAUCAACAAGCUACUUGCAAACAGAAUUCAAAAAUACAUUUAAAAAGAUCAUUCACAACCAUGAAGCUAGUUUUAGUCCAGAGAUAGAGACUGUUUAAUAUACAUAUCAAUAAAUGUUAUUUAUGCCUUUCACGUUAAAGUCUCAAGUGCACUCAGAAUAAAAGGAACCUCAGUAUCGAAAAAGUUACACGACAAACCUGUAUUUUGUUAAUAUAAUCCAAAGGUGUCCAUUUUCUAUACUCUUAUUCAAUCAUACUAGAAGUCUUAAACUAAAGCCACAACCUAAGCAGACAAAUAAAAGAAAACCAGGAAAGAAGUCCAAACACCUCUAUUUGUAGAUGGUAUGAUUCUAUACACAAAAGAAUAUAAAGAAACUACCAAAAAAACUCUUAAAACUGUUGAACACAGGGCUGGAGAGAUGGCUCAGGGGUUAAGAGCACUGACUGCUCUUCCAGAGGUCCUGAGUUCAAUUCCCAGCAACCACAUGGCGGCUCACAACCAUCUGUAAAUGGAACCAGAUGCCCUCUUCUGCUGUGUCUGAAGACAGCUACAGUGGACUCAUAAAUAAAAUAAAUUCUCAAAUAUAAAAAUUGUUAAAAAUACAUUAAGAUGUGACUGACACAAAAUAUUCUUUUAAGCCGGUGGUGGUGGCACACGCU